rnacentral:rRNA from 2 species
AGAGUCUGAUGGAGCACGCCGCGUGAGUGAAGAAGGGUUUCGGCUCGUAAAACUCUGUUGUUAAAGAAGAACAUAUCUGAGAGUAACUGUUCAGGUAUUGACGGUAUUUAACCAGAAAGCCACGGCUAACUACGUGCCAGCAGCCGCGGUAAUACGUAGGUGGCAAGCGUUGUCCGGAUUUAUUGGGCGUAAAGCGAGCGCAGGCGGUUUUUUAAGUCUGAUGUGAAAGCCUUCGGCUCAACCGAAGAAGUGCAUCGGAAACUGGGAAACUUGAGUGCAGAAGAGGACAGUGGAACUCCAUGUGUAGCGGUGAAAUGCGUAGAUAUAUGGAAGAACACCAGUGGCGAAGGCGGCUGUCUGGUCUGUAACUGACGCUGAGGCUCGAAAGUAUGGGUAGCAAACAGGAUUAGAUACCCUGGUAGUCCAUACCGUAAACGAUGAAUGCUAAGUGUUGGAGGGUUUCCGCCCUUCAGUGCUGCAGCUAACGCAUUAAGCAUUCCGCCUGGGGAGUACGGCCGCAAGGCUGAAACUCAAAGGAAUUGACGGGGGCCCGCACAAGCGGUGGAGCAUGUGGUUUAAUUCGAAGCUACGCGAAGAACCUUACCAGGUCUUGACAUACUAUGCAAAUCUAAGAGAUUAGACGUUCCCUUCGGGGACAUGGAUACAGGUGGUGCAUGGUUGUCGUCAGCUCGUGUCGUGAGAUGUUGGGUUAAGUCCCGCAACGAGCGCAACCCUUAUUAUCAGUUGCCAGCAUUAAGUUGGGCACUCUGGUGAGACUGCCGGUGACAAACCGGAGGAAGGUGGGGAUGACGUCAAAUCAUCAUGCCCCUUAUGACCUGGGCUACACACGUGCUACAAUGGAUGGUACAACGAGUUGCGAACUCGCGAGAGUAAGCUAAUCUCUUAAGCCAUUCUCAGUUCGGAUUGUAG